CAGUAGCCGCGGUAAUACGUAGGUGGCAAGCGUUGUCCGGAAUUAUUGGGCGUAAAGCGCGCGCAGGUGGUUUAAUAAGUCUGAUGUGAAAGCCCACGGCUCAACCGUGGAGGGUCAUUGGAAACUGUUAAACUUGAGUGCAGGAGAGAAAAGUGGAAUUCCUAGUGUAGCGGUGAAGUGCGUAGAGAUUAGGAGGAACACCAGUGGCGAAGGCGGCUUUUUGGCCUGUAACUGACACUGAGGCGCGAAAGCGUGGGGAGCAAACAGGAUUAGAUACCCGCGUAGUCCCUGUCUCUUAUAC
rnacentral:rRNA from 1 species